AAGGAAUAUUGCUCAAUGGGAGAAAUCCUGAAGCAGCAACGCCGCGUGGAGGAUGAAGGGUCUAUGACUUGUAAACUCCUGUAAAGAAGGAAAAAAUUCCCAUUUGAUGGGAGAUGAUGGUACUUCUGGAGUAAGCCCCGGCUAACUACGUGCCAGCAGCCGCGGUAAUACGUAGGGGGCAAGCGUUGUCCGGAUUUACUGGGUGUAAAGGGUGCUCAGGCGGAUUUGUAAGUCAGAGGUGAAAUCUUACAGCUUAACUGUGAAACUGCCUUUGAUACUGCAAGAGUAGAGUAUGGAAGAGAGUGAUGGAAUAUCUGGUGUAGCAGUGAAAUGCGUAGAUAUCAGAUAGAACACCAAUGGCGAAGGCAGUCACUUGGUCCAUUACUGACGCUAAAGCACGAAAGCGUGGGUAGCAAACA
rnacentral:rRNA from 1 species